rnacentral:rRNA from 1 species
GAUGAACGCUAGCUACAGGCUUAACACAUGCAAGUCGCGGGGUCUGUUUCGGCAGACGACCGGCGCACGGGUGAGUAACGCGUAUCCAACCUGCCCCUCUCUUUGGCAUAGCCUUUCGAAAGAGAGAUUAAUUCCGAAUAACGUAGUAACGUUGCCUGAUGAUACUACGAAAGCUCCGGCGGAGAGGGAUGGGGAUGCGUUCCAUUAGGUAGUAGGCGGGGUAACGGCCCACCUAGCCUACGAUGGAUAGGGGUUCUGAGAGGAAGGUCCCCCACAUUGGAACUGAGACACGGUCCAAACUCCUACGGGAGGCAGCAGUGAGGAAUAUUGGUCAAUGGGCGAAAGCCUGAACCAGCCAAGUCGCGUGAAGGAUGAAGGUUCUAUGGAUUGUAAACUUCUUUUGUCUGAGGGUAAAAAGCGGACGUGUCCGUUCUUGCAAGUAUCAGACGAAUAAGCAUCGGCUAACUCCGUG